AAAUGAUUUUGCUGGUCAACGAUGUAACAAUUCGACAACAUCGACUUUGUUUUAGCCGGUGACCUUUGAAGACGAGGAGGUGGAGGUGUUUGAGGCACUGGUCGAGUCCGUCACCUUUGAGAGCAAUCUCUUUGAAGUAGAAGACACCCUCUUGUCAAUCACCCCAGAGGUCCUUACCUCCGUGUUUG